ACGGGUGCGUAACGCGUAUGCAAUCUACCUUUCACUGGGGAAUAACCUUGGGAAACCAAGGCUAAUACCGCAUAAGACAGUGUUCUGGCAUCAGGAAGCUGUUAAAGAUUUAUCGGUGAGAGAUGAGCAUGCGUCUGAUUAGCUAGUUGGUGAGGUAACGGCUCACCAAGGCGACGAUCAGUCGGGGUUCUGAGAGGAAGAUCCCCCACACUGGCACUGAGAUACGGGCCAGACUCCUACGGGAGGCAGCAGUAGGGAAUAUUGGGCAAUGGUCGCAAGACUGACCCAGCCAUGCCGCGUGCAGGACGAAGGCCCUCUGGGUUGUAAACUGCUUUUGCAGGUGAAGAAAAAGUGGUUUGCGAACCAUGUUGACGGUAGCCUGCGAAUCAGCCACGGCUAACUACGUGCCAGCAGCCGCGGUAAUACGUAGGUGGCAAGCGUUGUCCGGAUUUAUUGGGUUUAAAGGGUGCGUAGGCGGGUAAGUAAGUCAGAGGUGAAAGACGGCCGCUCAACGGUCGCAGUGCCUUUGAUACUGCAUAUCUUGAGUGCAGACGAGGUCUGUGGAAUGGAUGGUGUAGCGGUGAAAUGCUUAGA
rnacentral:rRNA from 1 species